AUGAUCGGCGAAACUUUUGAAGAUAUAGACAGGAAUAAUUUUGCCUUAAACUAGAAUUUAAAUGCUAAAUGAUGAUAUAAAGAGUUCCUAAAUGUGAUAUCAUAUGAUAGGGCAAUAAAAUGUUACAAGAUAAUUAAUUUAUUUAAAAACUAACUAAAUAAUUAAAUAAUGAUUAGAAUUCUCUAGAGAAUUUUUUGUCUAUCAUCAACUCCAAACCCCCCCUCAUUUCAGCCACAAGCACGUCCUCCCCCUCUCCAUGGAAGACCAAAAGCUUAAGCUUUUUAAUUUCCAAAUAUUUGUCAUUUAAUCGGUAAAUCGAUCGGGUAAUCUUGUAUCCGCCAGCAAAUCGAGCGAAGGAGCAUAUAGUGCGUUUUGAUCACAAAGGAGUGGAUUUAGAGGGUAGAGAAGUAUCAAUGUGAAACAGGCUUAUGUUCAUAAGCCUGCGAGGUUAGAGUCGACAUUAUGUCAGUGGUGUUGCGCAGCUUUGCAUCUUUGGCGAGUCACUGGUGGUCAACUUGGUUUAGUAGUCGUGGCAUGUUAUGUAAUAGUUUAAUCUUUAACCUUCCGCUGGAUAAAUGUUAAGUUUUUAAAUGUAAUAGAUUUUAAUUAUGCUUUUAAGCUAAAAAGAAAAAGGAAAAAUUUCAGCA